GUGAGGAAUUUUCCGCAAUGGGCGAAAGCCUGACGGAGCAAUGCCGCGUGAAGGAUGAAGGCCUAUGGGUUGUAAACUUCUUUUCUCAGAAAAGAAUUAUGACGGUAUCUGAGGAAUAAGCAUCGGCUAACUCUGUGCCAGCAGCCGCGGUAAGACAGAGGAUGCAAGCGUUAUCCGGAAUGAUUGGGCGUAAAGCGUCUGUAGGUUGUUUAAAAAGUAUUCUGUCAAAGAUUAGGGCUUAACCCUAGAUAGGCAGAAUAAACUUUUAAGCUAGAGUGUGGUAGAGGCAGAGGGAAUUCCCGGUGGAGCGGUGAAAUGCGUAGAUAUCGUGAGGAACACCAAAGGCGAAGGCACUCUGCUGGGCCAAUACUAACACUGAGAGACGAAAGCGAGGGGAGCAAAUGGGAUUAGAUACCCGUGUAGUCC
rnacentral:rRNA from 1 species